CCUUGUAAAUUAUUCAGCUUGGUUUCUGGGGUUUGCUGUCUAGUACAGCUCCCCCGUAAUAUAUUAGCAUCUCCAGUUGAUCUCGGAUUGACUCAGUGUAAUAGACUAUUCGCUGAGGACGAGAACAUCGGGAAGCUCCAAAGCCCACAGUCCAUUUUGAAUUAGACCUCAAAUCAGAUAGGAUUACCCGCUGAACUUAA
rnacentral:misc_RNA from 1 species